rnacentral:rRNA from 1 species
GAUCCUGCCGGAGGCCAUUGCUAUCGGAGUCCGAUUUAGCCAUGCUAGUUGUGCGGGUUUAGACCCGCAGCGGAAAGCUCAGUAACACGUGGCCAAGCUACCCUGUGGACGGGAAUACUCUCGGGAAACUGAGGCUAAUCCCCGAUAACGCUUUGCUCCUGGAAGGGGCAAAGCCGGAAACGCUCCGGCGCCACAGGAUGCGGCUGCGGUCGAUUAGGUAGACGGUGGGGUAACGGCCCACCGUGCCCAUAAUCGGUACGGGUUGUGAGAGCAAGAGCCCGGAGACGGAAUCUGAGACAAGAUUCCGGGCCCUACGGGGCGCAGCAGGCGCGAAACCUUUACACUGUACGAAAGUGCGAUAAGGGGACUCCGAGUGUGAAGGCAUAGAGCCUUCACUUUUGUACACCGUAAGGUGGUGCACGAAUAAGGACUGGGCAAGACCGGUGCCAGCCGCCGCGGUAAUACCGGCAGUCCGAGUGAUGGCCGAUCUUAUUGGGCCUAAAGCGUCCGUAGCUGGCUGAACAAGUCCGUUGGGAAAUCUGUCCGCUUAACGGGCAGGCGUCCAGCGGAAACUGUUCAGCUUGGGACCGGAAGACCUGAGGGGUACGUCUGGGGUAGGAGUGAAAUCCUGUAAUCCUGGACGGACCGCCGGUGGCGAAAGCGCCUCAGGAGACGGAUCCGACAGUGAGGGACGAAAGCUAGGGUCUCGAACCGGAUUAAAUACCC